rnacentral:rRNA from 1 species
GCACGAAAGUUAGCCGGGGCUUCUUCUGCGGGUACCGUCAUUAUCUUCCCCGCCGAAAGAGCUUUACAACCCUAAGGCCUUCAUCACUCACGCGGCAUGGCUGGAUCAGGCUUGCGCCCAUUGUCCAAUAUUCCCCA